CCCUGGCUCAGGACGAACGCAGGCGGCGUGCUUAACACAUGCAAGUCGAACGAUGAUCCGGUGCUUGCACCGGGGAUUAGUGGCGAACGGGUGAGUAACACGUGAGUAACCUGCCCUGGACUCUGGGAUAACCCCGAGAAAUCGGAGCUAAUACCGGAUAGGACCCUGGACCGCAUGGUUUGGGGUGGAAAGUUUUUCGGUCUGGGAUGGACUCGCGGCCUAUCAGCUUGUUGGUGAGGUAAUGGCUCACCAAGGCGUCGACGGGUAGCCGGCCUGAGAGGGUGACCGGCCACACUGGGACUGAGACACGGCCCAGACUCCUACGGGAGGCAGCAGUGGGGAAUAUUGCACAAUGGGCGCAAGCCUGAUGCAGCAACGCCGCGUGAGGGAUGACGGCCUUCGGGUUGUAAACCUCUUUUAGUAAGGAAGAAGGGAAGCUUGCUUCUUGACGGUACUGCAGAAAAAGGACCGGCUAACU
rnacentral:rRNA from 1 species